AACGCCCUGUUACUUAGACAAUGCACUCGUUUUGACCAGAGCCCCCUGACACUGUUUUACACUAUUUGUUAAAGAUGUAGACUACAGAAGGCCUGUUUUGUUUCUCCACAACGGUGUGUGUGUGUAUGAGCGAGUGAGACAGAGACAGAGAAAGGCGAUCAUUUGGUAGUAGGUACUGAUUGGCUCUUGCGGUACAUGUGACAACUGUCCUCGUUUGCAUAUGGACAGGUACGCUAUGGUGAGCGUCGUAGAGAAGUUACCGGGCUGACACCGUGAAUGUAGUUUUAAAGAUAAUCGCGAAAUCUCCUAAGUAGCCCUAGGACAUCGCCAGUCUACACCAAGAGGACUACUGUUUCAUACCGCCCACUGACUUCGGAAAAUAGCUCGUUGUAAUCAGCAGAGACAGGCACCCCUCACUGUCAGUCUGGCUGCUGUGUCCCCAUUGGUCCAGAUGUGAGAGCAAAGACCAGCAGUGUCACCUCUAACCCUCAGGGCCCGUCGUCAUGAACAUGGUGUUGUCGUUACCAAGGCCGUCAUGGGGGGUGUGGUCUGUGUUAGUCCCAGGUCUGGCCCUACUGCUGUGUCUGGCCCUGGCCCUGAUGGGCUGUGUGAUCAGGAAGAAGAGAAGGAUGGAGGGAAUGUAUCGGCCCAGUGCGGAGGAGAGCAAACAGACAGGACCACGGGGGGCUGAGAGACCAGGCCUGCCCCUGCCCAAGGAGGAGAGACUCAUCUGAUACACACACUCUAGCCUGGACGCUGCACACACACACACACACACACACACACACACACACACACACACACACACACACACACACACACACACACACACACACACACACACACACACACAUAUAUAAACCCUCUCUUUUCCUCCCUCUCUCUGUCACUACCAUUGCCUCACUCUCCUCUACCCUGUACAUGAAGCCAGAAUGGGUUAUUGGUAACAAUGUUUUGUAUGUAUUGUGUAAAGGUAUCUGUAUAUGAAGUUUCUUGUUAAAUAUGCCUGAACAUGCCUGGUGGAUGUGCCAUGUUCUCUCCAGUUUCUCCAACUGUGCUGAUGUUGACAUCAGUGUGUCAGCAGGGGAAUGCUGAAUUGUUUACCUGCAGGUGGACUAGUUGUUGACAUGUUUACCUGCAGGUGGACUAGUUGUUGACAUGUUUACCUGCAGGUGGACUAGUUGUUGACAUGUUUACCUGUAGGUGGACUAGUUGUUGACAUGUUUACCUGCAGGUGGACUAGUUGUUGACAUGUUUACCUGUAGGUGGACUAGUUGUUGACAUGUUUACCUGCAGGUGGACUAGUUGUUGACACGUUUACCUGUAGGUGGACUAGUUGACAUGUUUACCUGUAGGUGGACUAGUUGUUGACAUGUUUACCUGCGGGUGGACUAGUUGUUGACAUGUUUACCUGCGGGUGGACUAGUUGUUGACACGUUUACCUGUAGGUGGACUAGUUGUUGACACGUUUACCUGUAGGUGGACUAGUUGUUGACAUGUUUACCUGUAGGUGGACUAGUUGUUGACAUGUUUACCUGUAGGUGGACUAGUUGUUGACAUGUUUACCUGCGGGUGGACUAGUUGUUGACAUGUUUACCUGCAGGUGGACUAGUUGUUGACAUGUUUACCUGCAGGUGGACUAGUUGUUGACAUGUUUACCUGCAGUUGGACUAGUUGUUGACAUGUUUACCUGUAGGUGGACUAGUUGUUGACAUGUUUACCUGUAGGUGGACUAGUUGUUGACAUGUUUACCUGCAGGUGGACUAGUUGUUGAUUAGGUCAGUCAUACAGAGGAAAGGGAAUUUAAAAGUUACUCUAUAUGCAAAAUGUCUCUCUUUAUUAUGGCAGUUAUACUGUUACUUGUAUACAAACCAUGAAUUAAGUUUAUCCCUUGUAUAAAACAUUAGUGUGUGUGUGUGUGUGUGUGUUUUUAUAUCUUGAAAAUGAAGAAUGGUGAGCUAAGACACAAUGAAUGAUUUCUAAUGCACUUCUGAUGAUAUUAUCCAUGUGAAAAAAAUAAAACUCCUCUCAAAAAGUA